GAUGAACGCUGGCGGCGUGCCUAAUACAUGCAAGUCGAGCGAACAGACGAGGAGCUUGCUCCUUUGACGUUAGCGGCGGACGGGUGAGUAACACGUGGGUAACCUACCCAUAAGACUGGGACAACUUCGGGAAACCGGAGCUAAUACCGGAUAAUAUUUCGAACCGCAUGGUUCGAUCGUGAAAGAUGGCUUUGCUAUCCCUUAUAGAUGGACUUGCCCCGUAUUAGCCAGUUGGUAAGGUAACGGCUUACCAAGGCAACGAUACGUAGCCGACCUGAGAGGGUGAUCGGCCACACUGGAACUGAGACACGGUCCAGACUCCUACGGGAGGCAGCAGUAGGGAAUCUUCCGCAAUGGGCGAAAGCCUGACGGAGCAACGCCGCGUGAGUGAGGAAGGUCUUCGGAUCGUAAAACUCUGUUAUUAGGGAAGAACAAACGUGUAAGUAACUGUGCACGUCUUGACGGUACCUAAGCAGAAAGCCACGGCUAACUACGUGCCAGCAGCCGCCGUAA
rnacentral:rRNA from 1 species